UCAUUAAAUAACUGAAAGUCAGUUCUGGUCUCUUAAACCUAGAUAUAGUAAUUAACGUCUACUUUUAAUGAA
rnacentral:tRNA from 1 species